GACGUAGGGUGCAAGCGUUGUCCGGAAUUAUUGGGCGUAAAGAGCUCGUAGGCGGUUUGUCGCGUCUGCUGUGAAAACCCGAGGCUCAACCUCGGGCCUGCAGUGGGUACGGGCAGACUAGAGUGCGGUAGGGGAGAUUGGAAUUCCUGGUGUAGCGGUGGAAUGCGCAGAUAUCAGGAGGAACACCGAUGGCGAAGGCAGAUCUCUGGGCCGUAACUGACGCUGAGGAGCGAAAGCAUGGGGAGCGAACAGG
rnacentral:rRNA from 1 species